AGCGAACGCUGGCGGCAGGCCUAACACAUGCAAGUCGAACGGCAGCACAGGAGAGCUUGCUCUCUGGGUGGCGAGUGGCGGACGGGUGAGGAAUGCAUCGGAAUCUACUCUUUCGUGGGGGAUAACGUAGGGAAACUUACGCUAAUACCGCAUACGACCUACGGGUGAAAGCCGGGGACCUUCGGGCCUGGCGCGAAUGAAUGAGCCGAUGCCCGAUUAGCUAGUUGGCGGGGUAAGAGCCCACCAAGGCGACGAUCGGUAGCUGGUCUGAGAGGAUGAUCAGCCACACUGGAACUGAGACACGGUCCAGACUCCUACGGGAGGCAGCAGUGGGGAAUAUUGGACAAUGGGCGCAAGCCUGAUCCAGCCAUACCGCGUGGGUGAAGAAGGCCUUCGGGUUGUAAAGCCCUUUUGUUGGGAAAGAAAAGCAAUCGGUUAAUACCCGGUUGUUCUGACGGUACCCAAAGAAUAAGCACCGGCUAACUUCGUGCCAGCAGCCGCGGUAACAC
rnacentral:rRNA from 1 species